rnacentral:rRNA from 1 species
CCUACGGGUGGCAGCAGUGAGGAAUAUUGGUCAAUGGACGAGAGUCUGAACCAGCACAGUCGCGUAAAGGAUGACUGCCCUAUGGGUUGUAAACUUCUUUUAUAUGGGAAUAAAAUGUUCCACGUGUGGGAUUUUGUAUGUACCAUUUGAAUAAGGAUCGGCUAACUCCGUGCCAGCAGCCGCGGUAAUACGGAGGAUCCGAGCGUUAUCCGGAUUUAUUGGGUUUAAAGGGAGCGUAGGUGGAUUGUUAAGUCAGUUGUGAAAGUUUGCGGCUCAACCGUAAAAUUGCAGUUGAAACUGGCAGUCUGGAGUACAGUAGAGGUGGGCGGAAUGCGUGGUGUAGCGGUGAAAUGCUUAGAUAUCACGAAGAACUCCGAUUGCGAAGGCAGCUCACUGGACUGCAACUGACACUGAGGCUCGAAAGUGUGGGUAUCAAACAGGAUUAGAUACCCCUGUAGUC